CCUACGGGAGGCAGCAGUGGGGAAUAUUGGACAAUGGGGGGAACCCUGAUCCAGCCAUGCCGCGUGUGUGAAGAAGGCCCUCGGGUUGUAAAGCACUUUCAGUGAGGAAGAACGCCUGGUGGUUAAUACCCAUCAGGAAAGACAUCACUCACAGAAGAAGCACCGGCUAACUCCGUGCCAGCAGCCGCGGUAAUACGGAGGGUGCGAGCGUUAAUCGGAAUUACUGGGCGUAAAGCGCGCGUAGGUGGCUUGAUAAGCCGGUUGUGAAAGCCCCGGGCUCAACCUGGGAACGGCAUCCGGAACUGUCAAGCUAGAGUGCAGGAGAGGAAGGUAGAAUUCCCGGUGUAGCGGUGAAAUGCGUAGAGAUCGGGAGGAAUACCAGUGGCGAAGGCGGCCUUCUGGACUGACACUGACACUGAGGUGCGAAAGCGUGGGUAGCAAACAGGAUUAGCUACCCUAGUAGUA
rnacentral:rRNA from 1 species